rnacentral:rRNA from 1 species
GAGUUUGAUCGUGGCUCAGAUUGAACGCUGGCGGCAUGCCUUACACAUGCAAGUCGAACGGCAGCAUGAUCUAGCUUGCUAGAUUGAUGGCGAGUGGCGAACGGGUGAGUAAUACAUCGGAACGUGCCCUGUAGUGGGGAGUAACUAGUCGAAAGAUUAGCUAAUACCGCAUACGACCUGAGGGUGAAAGUGGGGGACCGGCAAGGACCUCAUGCUAUAGGAGCGGCCGAUGUCUGAUUAGCUAGUUGGUGGGGUAAAGGCCCACCAAGGCGACGAUCAGUAGCUGGUCUGAGAGGACGAUCAGCCACACUGGGACUGAGACACGGCCCAGACUCCUACGGGAGGCGAGCAGUGGGGAAUUUUGGACGAAUGGGCGAAAGCCUGAUCCAGCAAUGCCGCGUGUGUGAAGAAGGCC